CCUACGGGGGGCAGCAGUGGGGAAUAUUGGACAAUGGGGGAAACCCUGAUCCAGCGACGCCGCGUGAGUGAAGAAGUAUUUCGGUACGUAAAGCCCUAUCAGCAGGAAAGAAAAUGACGGUAUCUGACUAAGAAGCACCGGCUAACUACGUGCCAGCAGCCGCGGUAAUACGUAGGGGGCAAGCGUUAUCCGGAUUGACUGGGCGUAAAGGGAGCGUAGACGGGAGAGCAAGUCUGGUGGGAAAUGCCGGGGCUCAACCCCGGAACUGCACUUGAAACUGUGAUGCUGGAGUACGGGAGAGGUAAGCGGAAUUCCUGGUGUAGCGGUGAAAUGCGUAGAGAUCAAGAGGAACACCGGCGGCGAAGGCGGCUUACUGGACUGUAACUGACGUUGAGGCUCGAAGGCGUGGGGAGCAAACAGGAUUAGAUACCCUUGUAGUC
rnacentral:rRNA from 1 species